GAUGAACGCUGGCGGCGUGCCUAAUACAUGCAAGUCGAGCGAGCAGACGAGGAGCUUGCUCCUCUGACGUUAGCGGCGGACGGGUGAGUAACACGUGGAUAACCUACCUAUAAGACUGGGAUAACUUCGGGAAACCGGAGCUAAUACCGGAUAAUAAAUUGAACCGUAUGGUUCAAUAGUGAAAGACGGUUUUGCUGUCACUUAUAGAUGGAUCCGCGCCGCAUUAGCUAGUUGGUAAGGUAACGGCUUACCAAGGCAACGAUGCGUAGCCGACCUGAGAGGGUGAUCGGCCACACUGGAACUGAGACACGGUCCAGACUCCUACGGGAGGCAGCAGUAGGGAAUCUUCCGCAAUGGGCGAAAGCCUGACGGAGCAACGCCGCGUGAGUGAUGAAGGUCUUCGGAUCGUAAAACUCUGUUAUUAGGGAAGAACAAAUGUGUAAAUAACUAUGCACGUCUUGACGGUACCUAAUCAGAAAGCCACGGCUAACUACGUG
rnacentral:rRNA from 1 species